CAACAAACUGGAUACCAAAAUCAGAUACAGUAACAGUGAGUAAUUUACCACCUUGAGCCAGUAAUUUUACCUCAAUUUUCUCCUUAAGUAGUAGGUUCACCACAAAGUAGGAAUAAUAACAACAGGCGUUAUGCGCUAUAAAUGUGUAGCCACUAAAAGGGGUAUCAAUACAUUUUCGAACAAAGUCCACCACACAUGAAGCACCCUGAAACUCCCAACUUUUUUUUUAGUUGUCAG